rnacentral:sRNA from 1 species
AAGCCGCGACCCCUGACCCUCGGCCUCGCCCUCUAGCCCCACCCAGCCCUCAGGAGCAAGAUUCCCGGCCGCACCCGAAAGUGCCCCGGGGACCAGCGACCCUGCGCUUUGUUUAGUUGUAUUGGCUCUGGGGAUUGGAGAUGUCCCCCUCAUGGGGGGUGCUGAGACCUUAGGGUGGGCUGCCAGGCUGGGCGGAUGCGGCCUAAGUGCACAAGGCCUUGGGCAGAGCUGGCUGCAAGAGGUGGGUACGCCAGUGGUGGGCAGGCGCCGAGUCCUGCAGCGUCUCACCGGGGCCUGUCUGUGCCUCUGCAGCCGAGAGGGUGACCUCUCUGGGCAAGGACUGGCAUCGGCCCUGCCUGAAGUGCGAGAAAUGUGGGAAGACGCUGACCUCUGGGGGCCACGCUGAGGUAGGUGGGACCCACCCUGGUGGCAGGGGCCAGGGGUGACGGCACCCCCUCACGGCCCUUCUCUUUGCAGCACGAAGGCAAACCCUACUGCAACCACCCCUGCUACGCAGCCAUGUUUGGGCCUAAAGGUAUGCUCCCGUCGUCCCCACCCCACCCCACAGCCUCCUCCACCCCAGCCUGUUGACUUUUUCCACCUUCUCUGCAGGCUUUGGGCGGGGUGGAGCCGAGAGCCACACUUUCAAGUAAACCAGGUGGUGGAGACCCCAUCCUUGGCUGCUUGCAGGGCCACUGUCCAGGCAAAUGCCAGGCCUUGCCCCCAGAUGCCCAGGGCUCCCUUGUUGCCCCUAAUGCUCUCAGUAAACCUGAACACUUGGAAAA